CUACGGGUUGCACCAGUGGGGAAUAUUGCACAAUGGGGGAAACCCUGAUGCAGCCAUGCCGCGUGUGUGAAGAAGGCUUUCGGGUUGUAAAGCACUUUCAGUGGGGAGGAAAGGGUGCAGAUUAACACUCUGUAUCUGUGACGUUACCCACAGAAGAAGCACCGGCUAACUCCGUGCCAGCAGCCGCGGUAAUACGGAGGGUGCGAGCGUUAAUCGGAAUUACUGGGCGUAAAGCGCGCGUAGGUGGUUAAUUAAGUCAGAUGUGAAAGCCCAGGGCUCAACCCUGGAACAGCAUUUGAAACUGGUUAACUAGAGUUUUGUAGAGGGUGGUAGAAUUUCAGGUGUAGCGGUGAAAUGCGUAGAGAUCUGAAGGAAUACCAGUGGCGAAGGCGGCCACCUGGACAGAGACUGACACUGAGGCGCGAAGGCGUGGGGAGCAAACGGGAUUAGAUACCCCGGUAGUC
rnacentral:rRNA from 1 species